GGAGGCGGCGGGGCCGUCCCGGAACGGCUGCGGCCGGGCACCCCGGGAGUUAAUCCGAAAGCGCCGCAAGCCCCGCGGGCCGGCCGCACCGCACGUGUCACCGAGAAGCUGAUGUAGAGAGAGACAGAGAAAGAGACAGAAAGCAAGAGACCAGAGUCCCGGGAAAGUCCUGCCGCGCCUCGGGACAAUUAUAAAAAUGUGGCCCCCUGGGUCAGCCUCCCAGCCACCGCCCUCACCUGCCGCGGCCACAGGUCUGCAUCCAGCGGCUCGCCCAGUGUCCCUGCAGUGCCGGCUCAGCAUGUGUCCAGCGCGCAGCCUCCUCCUUGUGGCUACCCUGGUCCUCCUGGACCACCUCAGUUUGGCCAGAAACCUCCCUGUGGCCACCCCAGGCCCAGGAAUGUUCCCGUGCCUUCACCACUCCCAAAACCUGCUGAGGGCCGUCAGCAACAUGCUCCAGAAGGCCAGACAAACUCUAGAAUUCUACCCUUGCACUUCUGAAGAGAUUGAUCAUGAAGAUAUCACAAAAGAUCAAACCAGCACAGUGGAGGCCUGUUUACCAUUGGAAUUAACCAAGGUAUAAAGGAUUUUCCUCCCAGAGCACGCAGUGUGGUUAAAAACUGUGCAUCAAAUCUCACCUGCUUCUAAAAAUUCACGUUUCUGGUAUCCAUCAUUAUGGGAUUUUAACUGGUCCUACUUCAGAAGUUAGAUUUGGGAGAAAAAUUAUUUUUAAAAAAUGGUUUUUUUUUUUUGCAACAAUGUGAAUAUACUUAACACUUAAAAAUAGUUCAGAUGCUAAAUAUUAUGAUAUGUGUUUUUACCAUAAUAAAAAAAAUUUGACCUGAAAAGUCAGAAAGAUUUAUACUAAGAAUUAAUACUUUGAUAUAUGAUUUUUUCCCCUCUAGAAUGAGAGUUGCCUAAAUUCCAGAGAGACCUCUUUCAUAACUGUAAGUCAAAAAAUGAAAAGCUUCAGCCUGUAUGAUGAAUUCAUAUCACUGAUGUCUGAUUAUUUUUUCUUCUAGAAUGGGAGUUGCCUGGCCUCCAGAAAGACCUCUUUUAUGAUGGUAAGACACACAGCUCUUUCCUCAAAUGCAAUGGGGGGAAUGUUUUUAGCCCAUCUCAAUGGAUACUUCCCCAUCUUGUCAUGUCACCCAGGCCCUGUGCCUUAGUAGUAUUUAUGAAGACUUGAAGAUGUACCAGGUGGAGUUCAAGACCAUGAAUGCAAAGCUUCUGAUGGAUCCUAAGAGGCAGAUCUUUCUAGAUCAAAACAUGCUGGCAGUUAUUGAUGAGCUGAUGCAGGCCCUGAAUUUCAACAGUGAGACUGUGCCACAAAAAUCCUCCCUUGAAGAACCGGAUUUUUAUAAAACUAAAAUCAAGCUCUGCAUACUUCUUCAUGCUUUCAGAAUUCGGGCAGUGACUAUUGAUAGAGUGAUGAACUAUCUGAAUGCUUCCUAAAAAGCGAGGUCCCUCCAAACCAUUGUCAUUUUUAUAAAACUUUGAAAUGAGGAAACUUUGAUAGGAUGUGGAUUAAGAACUAGGGAGGGGGAAAGAGGGAUGGGACUAUUACAUCCACAUGAUACCUCUGAUCAAGUAUUUUUGACAUUUACUGUGGAUAAAUUGUUUUUAAGUUUUCAUGAAUGAAUUGCUAAGAAGGAAAAAUGUCCAUCCUGAAGGUGUUUUUCAUUCACUUUAAUAGAAGGGCAAAUAUUUAUAAGCUAUUUCUGUACCAAAGUGUUUGUAGAAACAAACAUGUAAGCAUAACUUAUUUUAAAAUAUUUAUUUAUAUAACUUUGUAAUCAUGAAAGCAUCUGAACUAACUUAUAUUUAUUUAUGUUAUAUUUAUUAAAUUAUUUAUCAAGUGUAUUUGAAAAAUAUUUUUUAAGUGUUCUAAAAAUAAAAGUAUUGAAUUAAAGUGA
rnacentral:sRNA from 1 species